rnacentral:rRNA from 1 species
GAUGAACGCUGGCGGCGUGCCUAAUACAUGCCAGUCGAGCGAGCGGACGAGAAGCUUGCUUUUCUGAUGUUAGCGGCGGACGGGUGAGUAACACGUGGAUAACCUACCUAUAAGACUGGGAUAACUUCGGGAAACCGGAGCUAAUACCGGAUAAUAUUUUGAACCGCAUGGUUCAAAAGUGAAAGACGGUCUUGCUGUCACUUAUAGAUGGAUCCGCGCUGCAUUAGCUAGUUGGUAAGGUAACGGGUUACCAAGGCAACGAUGCAUAGCCGACCUGAGAGGGUGAUCGGCCACACUGGAAGUGAGACACGGUCCAGACUCCUACGGGAGGCAGCAGUAGGGAAUCUUCCGCAAUGGGCGAAAGCCUGACGGAGCAACGCCGCGUGAGUGAUGAAGGUCUUCUGAUCGUAAAACUCUGUUAUUAGGGAAGAACAUAUGUGUAAGUACCUGUGCACAUCUUGACGGUACCUAAUCAGAAAGCCACGGCUAACUACGUG